CAGCACCUCAAGUGGUCAGGAUGAUUAUUGGGCCUAAAGCAUCCGUAGCCGGCGCUGUAAGUUUUCGGUUAAAUCUGUACGCUCAACGUACAGGCUGCCGGGAAUACUGCAGCGCUAGGGAGUGGGAGAGGUAGACGGUACUCGGUAGGAAGGGGUAAAAUCCUUUGAUCUAUUGAUGACCACCUGUGGCGAAGGCGGUCUACCAAAACACGUCCGACGGUGAGGGAUGAAAGCUGGGGGAGCAAACCGGAUUAGAGACCCCCGUAGUCC
rnacentral:rRNA from 1 species